UACGUAGGUGGCAAGCGUUAUCCGGAUUUACUGGGUGUAAAGGGCGUGUAGGCGGGAAAGCAAGUCAGAUGUGAAAACCAUGGGCUCAACCUGUGGCCUGCAUUUGAAACUGUUUUUCUUGAGUACUGGAGAGGCAGACGGAAUUCCUAGUGUAGCGGUGAAAUGCUUAGAGAUCAUACAGAACACCGAUUGCGAAGGCAGCUUACCAAGCUACUUCUGACGUUGAGGCACGAAAGCGUGGGGAGCAAACAGG
rnacentral:rRNA from 1 species